UACGUAGGGUGCGAGCGUUGUCCGGAAUUACUGGGCGUAAAGAGCUCGUAGGUGGUUUGUCGCGUUGUUCGUGAAAACUCACAGCUCAACUGUGGGCGUGCGGGCGAUACGGGCAGACUGGAGUACUGCAGGGGAGACUGGAAUUCCUGGUGUAGCGGUGGAAUGCGCAGAUAUCAGGAGGAACACCGGUGGCGAAGGCGGGGUCUCUGGGGCAGUAACUGACGCUGGAGGAGCGAAAAGCGUGGGGAGCGAACAGG
rnacentral:rRNA from 1 species